CUGUGGGUGCUGCUCUCCUUAGGGCGCGGCGCCGGGGCCUGCGUGUGCCUGUGUGUGGCGACUGGCUUUUCCCAGAGGGUGGGGAGGGGCUGGGUGGAGUUCCGAGGCCAGGACCCAGGGCUCGCUCGAGCGCGUGGGAAGGAAACGCCCGUUUCCUCCUGGAAGUUGCUUCGCCUUCUCCCAGGACGAAGACACCACCACUCCCCACCAUCCUCCUCCACCCUGACCGUUCCAACCAGGGCUGCAAGCGUGGGGUCCCCUUACGGGAUGCCUGCAGUUUGGGGCCAUCUGCAGGGGAUUGGCAGAAGGCCCAGGGGUUUAGUCAUGAGGGAAGCACAUGCAAGUUUGUCACCGUUUAGGGCACUCAUUGAAUGUGUUGAGAGGGAGGGGAGAGAAGCAAGGGAGGAAAGGAGAGAAAGAGGAGAAAGAGAAAAGUGUGUGUGUGUUGGGGGGAGGGGAGUGGCAGGGGGAAGGGAAUCUAGAAAAAAAAUCGAUAUGUCAGGAGGUGGGGAAUGCUAUUGGCCAAAUGGCAAAAUUCUUUUGACUCUAAUCCUUCUAGCUUCACUCAGUCUUAAACCCCAAGGUCCACAGGUUUGUUAGAAAUAAAAGUAAAACACACACACACACACACACACACACACACACACACACACAUAAAGAAAACAUCAUAAAAUAAAACAAAGAAAUCUUGGCAGAAGAAAGCCUUGAAGCACCUGCUGUAGCAGACCAAAUGUGAGACGGCACACCUGAGAGUCCAGAAACCUUUGACAGUUUUCUAAGUGGGUUCAGUUCAACCACCAUCACCACCAUCAAAACCUCCAGCCAGGGAAGAAAUGAGGAAGAAACUGGCUUAACUUGGCUGACCCUUCAGCAAAUCAAAUCCUUCUCUCACCGGGCAUCCGCUUUCAAGAAAUGAUUGCUGGGGCAUGCUUGUCAUCUCUCAUGGGAAAAAGGGAGCAGUUUUACUGCUCCAAAGGUGACAUUGUUUGAAGGAUUUAGAACAGUUUCCCCCCACACUUCAACACUGGUGCUGCCCCUAGGAGAACUAUGCCCAGCUCUUUUGAGGAUAGUUGCUUUGGAAAAAAACAAAAAACACUUUUUAAGGAAAAUUAUACAGGCCUGUGAUGUAAUUCUAGAGUUUAAAAAGAAACAAAUGGCCUCUACCUCAUCUGUCCCCAGCAUGAAGGAAAUCAAAGGCAGCUUGCGGAAGGGGCCAGGUCUGCCUCUGCAACACCCGCAGAUGAUGAGGUCACCUCAAGCCCCUUCUAGAUAAUUCUCUCGGCAGCCUGAAACCACUAUGACACACUUCCAAGCCUCUAAUAGUUCUGCUUUCUUUGAGAGUGCCUGGACAUCAGCAUCAGAUCAAUUUGGAAUUUCAUGCAAAUAAAACACACCAACUUAAUGGGAUGUGAAAGAGUUGGCUUCAAAAUAAAUCCUUGUUGAAAGGCACUGGAAUUACAUUUGAAAUGGAAGUGAAACAAAGUUGAAUUUUAUGGCACUGGCUUACAGGCUCUGUCUUGCACUGUUUACAGAUUGACCCAAAUAAAGUGAAGAAGACCAGAAUCAGGACCCAUCCUGGCAUAUACCUUUCACCUGAUAACAUCUGUUGGUUCCUAUGUAUUUAAUAUAUGUAUUUUCAUGUUUAUUUCUUUAUUUUUAUUAACUUUUCCAAUAAGAUUUCUCCCCCAAAAUACUAAUGUCAAUUAACAUUUAAAUAUAGAACUGUAAGUUUAAAUAUAGAACUGUGUUGGGCUAGACACAAUAUGAUUUCCUAAUUAUUACCAACCUGUUUCAUUUAAUUUGUAGAAUCCCUUGCAGUUUUUAAAUAACUCUCUACAAUCUCAUUUCUUCCUGUUAUCAAUCCAGUACUGAUAAAGUAGUAUCCCUAAACUAUAGUUGAAAACAUUGUAAUUCAGAAAAGUGAAGAGACUCAUCCAAUGCAUAUAUUUGAAAGCAACAUAGCUGAUUUCAGGGUUUUCUAGAUCUUAUUUCCUGGCUGGCUUGGUGUAGGUGGUAGUAAAUAACAUAUGUGGUUUUGGUACUGCAGAUUUUAAUCUAUGGUGAUCCACAUUCUGUUCCAGAGACACCAUGCAUUACUAUGGUCUCCAGGCUGUUGGCGAUCAUAACACUAGGGGGCACCAUUUUGACUUCCUUCUUACAUUAGCCUUUAGGGCCUUCAUAUUUUCGUAUUGAAGGUUGAUGAUGAAAUCAUGGGGAAUUUUAUUUCAUCUUGUUCAGACAAGAUUUUUGCAAGAGGCUUUACUUAUGAAAGGGAGAUGAUGCUUUCUUUCCACUAGUGAAGAUGUGUAGAAAAUUAAUUCCUACAGAGUUCUAAUUCCUAUGACUAAUAUCAAGAAAUGAGUAUUGUAGAGUAGGACACAUUCUUAGGGACUGUCAUGCUCAUUUAACUCUUAAACAGCUGGAUUCCUUUCUCUUUUUCUCCUCACCCUUACAGGGAUAUGGGCAGAGGGCCCCUUGUGUGACUUUAGAAGGAGGUUUUGAGGGUAAGAGAAGGAUUUCUCUGUCAUCAAAGAUAGCUACUCUGGUAUUGUGGCUUAGCCGCAGCAACUAUGCAGAACCAAACCAUUAGCACCCAGCUCUCAAAGAGAUGUUGCAUUUUGGGAUGUUUGUAUAUGCAGAGGUUACAAACUACUUGAUGUAUGAAUUGAUUUUUGCUGCAUAACAAUUAAUCAAUUAUUUUCAUACUCAUGGGUCUGCAGGUUGACUAUUUUCAUACUCACGGUUCUGCAGGUUUUCUGAUUAAGAGGAGAAGCUCUAUGAUAAGCCAGAGAAGAAAAGCAAGAAUCUAAGAACAAGGUGCUACUUGGUAUCUGCUCUCUGGGUCUAUGUAAUUUGGAGUUCCUAGCAGAGUGCGUAAUGCAUUUAGAGAGAGGUAUUUGUCUUUUCAAAAUAGGAUCCUGGACCUAAUGGGCACUGCUUGAAUUCAAUACCAGAAUAUGAUUCUAAAUAUCAGUAAAGUUUAAGAUCAUAUACAUGCAAUACUUCACAAGGUUUCUGGGUAGGGAUUUUAUGAAGAGAUGACUUAAUUAUUUUUUGAGUAUUCCUGACUCAAUACUCAAUAAAGAUAGUGCUAUGCUGUUUACACGCACGUGCAUAACAAACUAUAAAGGACACAUAGUAAGUAAUAAACUCAGUGUCACAUUCCUCUCACAGCCUGCUGAUGACUAUAAUUAAUAACUGUUUUUUUACCUUGAAAUUUGAUGAGAGCAGAUUUUAAUUGUUCUCACCACACACACAUGCCCACAUGCAUGCACACACACAAAUAACUGUGAGUGAUGCUGAAUGUGUUAACUAAUUGGAUUGUGGUCAUCACUAUACAAUGUAUACUUAUAUCAAAUCAUCAUGUUUUAUACCUCGAACAUACACAUUUUUUGUCAAUUAUAUCUCAUUAAAGCUGGAAAAAUGUAUUUCUGAUAGGUCGAGGAAAAAAAAGCAAUUCUUAAGAAAAAAAAAACAGAGGCAAGUAGAUGAUCACCUCCUGAGGUUAUCAAUGACUGUACAUUGAUGUCUAGUUUUGAUGUUUAUAAUUCUACCAAGUGAAUAUGUUCUGCAUUCUUAGACUUUCACAUCGAGGUUUCUCUAGGGAUUGGAAGGAGCUCCAUAAAGAUUAACUGUGUAACGACAUUCAGCAUCCCCAGAAGCAGCAUCCUACUGCUUAAUAACCUCAUUUCCAAUAGUGUGUUGUCUCCAAGUGCAUGAGCACAUGCACAAAUACAUAACACACAUGAUGGAACCAUAUAAUCUCCAUGUUGCAAGGGACUCUAAAGAGACUUGUAGUUCAGGAAGACUUGCCCAGUAAUAAGUAUUCUUCACAUCAUCUCUAACUCUUCAUAAUAUUGGAUUCUACUAGAAAAAUACACAGGAAGAAAAAUCUAACUAUAUCUUGUGGUUGCCAAUUUCAUUUAUGCUUAUCCCAAUUGUUAAGAACUUUCUGUUUUCAUCGUAUGGAGCAGGAUUUCAUCUCCCCACAGACACCUCUCUGGGGUCCUAAUUAAACCUUCUUGGAUUAAAAUCAGCUAUAACAAUCUCAGUUUUUGUAGUUAUCUCCACACUGCAUUGUGGAUUCUGGUGACAAAACAUUUGUUCAGGGUCUGCAUGCUUUUAACUUACCUGUCUAUCCUUUUAGUUCUCUCCUUAACUAAACUGGAAACACCAAUAGGCCUCCAGGGUAGAAUAUGAAGCCCUAAGCAAUUAACAGAUGUGGAGGGUUAUAGGAACACUGAGAAUUGCUAUGAUUGGUGUGUGGGGAGUCAUAGCCAGGGCUUGUAGCCCAGAGACAGAUGAUUUUGAUUUCCCACCUCUCUUUGAUGCCCUUGUUGACAGAUGAUGUGAAACUAGCUCCCCUGAGUGUAGUUUGUCUGAAUUUACUGGAUUUGCAGGUGUUUGGCUUCAUCCCACUAAUGUAUAAUGAUACAAAUGGUCUCUAAGGCUUACUCAGUGCAGAAAGAUCUCAUGUAUCAUAGAAAACCAGAAUAUUAGAGUGAGAAGUAACUUUAAAGAUGAUCUAGUCUUACCCCGAUUUUAUUUUUUAUUUUAUUUUUUUUCUUUCUUUUAGACUUCAAAUAUCGAGUGUCCUGUUAAUUAUAUUUCCUAGUGGUUCAAUGAUACUUCGUCUUGAUGUCCUCUUGAGUAUUUUCCCCUUUAUCACCCAUCUCUCUCCAUUCUCCCUUUCCCAUGAUUGGGUACUCACUCUAUGUCUUUAAAGAUGUAUGAUUCUUUGAAAAAAUUAUGUCAUUAUUUUAUGCUUACAUGUGUUUUUAAUUUGCAUAAGUACAGGUACUUUAUAUCUCAUUAUUUGUAGUUCUUUUCCCAUCAACAUUAUGUUUUGUGUGUUUGUAUCCUGUGUUGCUUCUGACAGCUGCUUAGUAAAACACUGAACACACUCCCCGUUUUCUGCCUACCCAUCCAUUCAUAGAUGCAUACCUAGAUUGUCAUAAACUCCCCACUUCCAUACAUAAUGCCCCGAUGAACAUUGUUAGCUAUGCAUCCUUAUAGAUCUAUGAACAGUUGUUUCUGGGAUACAUAUUAAAGAGGGGGUUUCUAGGAUUUACUAAUGUUUGAUUUCAUUAAAUACUUCAAAGUGCUUUCUGGAAUGACUGCAAGUCUAUACUUCUAACUGCAGGUGCAUUACCUUUUUCCCAUAUUCAUGCCAAAUGUAGCAUUACUCUCUUCCUAAUUUUUGCCAACAUAAUGGGUAUAAAGUGUAUAAAGUGUUAUAGUUUAAUGUUAGUCUGAGAUUUUUUAUUACUUGUAUUUUAGGCAUCUUAUAUGCUUGGUGGUGUUUUAGGUUUCAUUGUCUGUGAAUUGCUUAUUUGUUUCCUUUACCCAUUUUUUCAACUUAGCUUACGAGGUUUUAAAGUACAUUUGCAAGAAUUCCUUGAAUAUUUUUGACAUUAACACUAUGGUUUUUUUUAAACAUAAUAUAUUUAUCACACUCAGGAAAUUUGACAUUGGGGUUAUGUUGUUACAUGCAUUUCAUAUUCACGUUUCUUAUAACAAUAAGAACAAUAACAAAAUAAUAAAAAUAGUGUCCUUAAUAUUGUUUUUGUUAAACCCACUAUCCAAUUAAAGAUCAUACAUUGCAGUUAUUCUCAUAUCUCUUUCCUUUCCUUUAAAGAUUGUCCCCAAGCACUUAAAAAAAUUUUAUGGGUACAUAGAAGAUGUGUAUAUUUAUGGGGUACAUUAGUUCUUCUUUAAAUGUUUGGUAAAAUUCAGUAGCGAAGCUAUCAGGUCGUGGGCUUUUCUGUGCUGGAAGACUCUUUAUUACUGCAUCUAUCUCAUUACUUGUUAUUAGUCUGUUCGGGUUUUGGAUUUCUCUGCUUAAUUUCAGUGUUCUCUCUUACAAGUUCUAUUCUAGCAGUGAUUGUUCAUAAUUUUGGUUUUUCUUUCUGGAAGAGGCAAGUGUUGGAUGCCUCCUUUUCUAUGGUAGGUUUUUUAUAUUUAGCCUCUAUCAAAUUAAGAAUGUCUUUUUCUAUUCUUAGUUUUCUGAAAAAGUUUAUUUUAAAUUAUGUAUUGGUAUUGAACUUAAUAAAAAAUUUGUUUUUAUGUAUAUAUAUAUAUAUAUAUAAACUCAUGCAAUCUUUGCUAGUUAGCCCAUUAAUGUGAAGGAUUACAUCACAAAUAUUCUGAUAAUAAAUAAAAGGCAUGUUUUAGGGAUCCACCAUUAUUUUAUCAUAAUAUAUUAUUUUAAAAUAAAUUUUUUGAUAAGAUUUUAAAAAAUUUAGCUAGUUAACGUUUUGUUUAUUUAUUUAUCUCACAAUGACUUCUAGAUAAAAAUAUGGAUUCCAUUGUAGUGAAGUGAUUUGCUUGAAGACAACUUAUCAGCUUUAGACCCCAGAGUUCCUUAUUCUUUAUCUGGUCCCUUUGCUUAGUUCUUCUCUAAGAUUGAAUUCUAACAAAUUAUAAUCUUGCUUAUUGUGCAUUUUAAUGGAAACUUGUGUAUUAUUUUUAAGAUGGAAGCUUUGUCUUAUCACAACUGGUUGAAAGUAAAAAUUUUAAUAAGCAGA